UACAGAGGUCUCAAGCGUUGUUCGGAUUCAUUGGGCGUAAAGGGUGCGUAGGCGGCCGUUUGCGUCGGAUGUGAAAGCCCGGGGCUCAACCUCGGAACGGCAUUCGAUACGGGACGGCUGGAGACCGGGAGAGGAGAGUGGAAUAGCCAGUGUAGAGGUGAAAUUCGUAGAUAUUGGCUGGAACACCGGUGGCGAAAGCGGCUCUCUGGCCCGGUUCUGACGCUGAGGCGCGAAAGCGUGGGGAGCAAACAGG
rnacentral:rRNA from 1 species